AGCUUUAUAGUUUAAAAAAAACAUUAAUUUUGUAAAUUAAAUUUAAAUAAAUAUUUUAAAGCUU
rnacentral:tRNA from 1 species